rnacentral:rRNA from 1 species
UACCAGCACCCCGAGUGGUCGGGACGAUUAUUGGGCCUAAAGCAUCCGUAGCCGGCCUUACAAGUCUUCCGUUAAAUCCAGCUGCUUAACAGAUGGGCUGCGGAGGAUACUAUAAGACUAGGAGGCAGGAGAGGCAAGCGGUACUCAGUGGGUAGGGGUAAAAUCCGUUGAUCCAUUGAAGACCACCAGUGGCGAAGGCGGCUUGCCAGAAUGCGCUCGACGGUGAGGGAUGAAAGCUGGGGGAGCAAACCGG